CACCUGGCCCAUGAUGGAUUUUCAGAUG
rnacentral:piRNA from 1 species